AUUCGAAGCAACGCGAAGAACCUUACCAGGUCUUGACAUCCUCUGACAACCCUAAGAGAUAGGGCUUUCCCUUCGGGACAGAGUGACAGGUGGUGCAUGGUUGUCGUCAGCUNCGUGUCGUGAGAUGUUGGGUUAAGUUCCCGCAACGAGCGCAACCCUUGAUCUUAGUUGCCAGCAUUCAGUUGGGCACUCUAAGGUGACUGCCGGUGACAAACCGGAGGAAGGUGGGGAUGACGUCAAAUCAUCAUGCCCCUUAUGACCUGGGCUACACACGUGCUACAAUGGACAGAACAAAGGGCUGCAAGACCGCAAGGUUUAGCCAAUCCCAUAAAUCUGUUCUCAGUUCGGAUCGCAGUCUGCAACUCGACUGCGUGAAGCUGGAAUCGCUAGUAAUCGCGGAUCAGCAUGCCGCGGUGAAUACGUUCCCGGGCCUUGUACACACCGCCCGUCACACCACGAGAGUUUGCAACACCCGAAGUCGGUGAGUAACCUUUAUGGAGGGCAGCCCGCCGAAUGGGG
rnacentral:rRNA from 1 species